AACAACCUACUGUCUUAUGGUACCUGAGUUAGGUUCUAAUAAGAAAUAUCUUCAUCCCUCCCAAGGAUGGUAUUACUAAUGACCACAACAGACCUGAGCAUCAUUGCACUAGAGACUGAGCUCCCAGGUUAGGAAGCUUCACGGGACAUGCUUAAACCCCAUCCAGACUGCAGUGGCCCUCAACUUGUCUCCAGAGUGUGGUGUAUCGGAAAGAGUUUUUUCCAAGAUCUCAUUAUCAUCGUCUCCAUUCCACUGAUGAAGAUGACGCUCAGGGAGCUGAAGUAUCUUGUGCCAUGGUUACCCUACCUCCUUGAAAAUGACUCCAGCACGGGAAGUGGGAACGCCGAUUCUGCUUGCUAACCUUGAGCAAGACACUCAGCUCCUCAAACUUCUUUUUGUCAGUACUAGAUAUCAGACCCAGGGUCUUGUGCAUGCUAAGCAAUUACUC